CGGGUUAAUAUUCCCGUACUUCUUACAAUUGCGAUGGGGGGACGGAGAAGGCUAGGUGGGCCUGGCGACGGUUGUCCAGGUUCAAGUGCGUAGGCUGAAGAGUUAGGUAAAUCCGGCUCCUCGAUAGGCUGAGACACGACGUCGAGCUACUACGGUAGUGAAGUCAUUGAUGCCAUGCUUCCAGGAAAAGCCUCUAAGCUUCAGAUUGUAAGGAAUCGUACC
rnacentral:rRNA from 1 species